GAGGCAGGUAGACCUCACACAACUUGAUCAUCGUACCAACCCUCCAUCCAUCACACGCACCACCAUGCCUUACAACUGCUGCCUGCCCAACAUCAGCUGCCAUACCAGCUGCGCUUCCAGGCCCUGCCUGCCUCCCAGUUGCCAUGGCUGCACCCUCCCUGGGGCUUGUGACAUCCCUGCCAAUGUGGGCAACUGUGGAUGGUUCUGUGAAGGUGCCUUCAAUGGCAAUGAGAAGGAGACCAUGCAGUUCCUGAAUGACCGUCUGGCCAACUACCUGGAGAAGGUGCGGCAGCUGGAGGUGGAGAAUGCUGAGCUGGAAUCCAGGAUCCAGGAGUGGUGCCAACAGCAUGUCCCUUAUGUGUGUCCAGACUACCAGUCCUACUUUAGGACUAUUGAGGAACUUCAGCAGAAGAUCCUGUGCACUAAGUCUGAGAACAGCAGGCUAGUGAUUUGCAUUGACAAUGCCAAGCUGGCCUCUGAUGACUUCCGAACCAAGUAUGAGACUGAGCUGUCUCUGCGUCAGCUGGUGGAGGCUGACAUCAACAGCCUGCGCAGAAUCCUGGACAAUCUGACUCUGUGCAAGUCUGACCUGGAAGCCCAAGUGGAGUCCCUCAGGGAGGAGCUUGUUUGCCUGAAGAAGAACCAUGAGGAGGAAGUCAACUCCCUGCGAUGCCAGCUUGGUGAUCGACUCAAUGUGGAGGUGGAUGCUGCCCCAACUGUGGACCUGAACAGGAUCUUGAAUGAGACUCGGGCUGAAUAUGAGGCCAUGAUAGAGAACAACCGCAGAGAUGUGGAGGAAUGGUACAACACUCAGUCAGAAGAACUGAACAAGCAGGUGGUGUCCAGCUCUGAACAGCUACAGAACUGCCAGGCUGAGAUCAUUGACCUAAGACGCACUGUCAACGCUUUGGAGAUUGAGCUUCAGGCUCAGCACAACCUGAGAGAUUCUCUGGAAAAUACCCUGACUGAAUCUGAGGCCCGUUACAGUUCCCAGCUCUCCCAGAUACAGUGCAUGGUUUCCAAUGUGGAAUCCCAGUUGGCUGAGAUCCGUGGUGACCUGGACAGACAGAAUCAAGAGUACCAGGUUCUUCUGGAUGUCAGGUCUCGGCUAGAGUGUGAGAUUUCCACAUAUCGUAACCUGUUGGAGUGUGAGGACUGCAAGUGCUGAUCUGAACUAUCCCUGCGCCAUCUGGUAGAGGCUGACAUCAAUGGUCUGUGCAGGAUUUUGGAUGGGUUAACUCUCUGCAAAUCUGAUCUGGAGGCUAAGGUGGAAUCCCUGAAGGAGGAGCUACUUUGUCUCAAACAGAACCAUGAGCAGGAAGUUAACUCCCUGCAAUGUCAGCUUGGUGAUUGACUCAAUGUGGAGGUGGAUGCUGCCCAAAAUGUGGACCUGAACAGGAUCCUGAAUGAGACUUGGGCUGAAUAUGAAGCUCUGGUAGAGAAUAACUGUAGAGAUGUGGAGGAAUGGUUCACCACUCAGAAGAACUGAACAAGCAAGUGGUGUCCAGUUCUGAACAGCUGCAGAACUGUCAGGCUGAGAUCAUUGAGCUGGGAUGUACUGUCAAUGCUUUGGAGAUUGAGCUGCAGGCUCAGUACAACCUGCACAGAGACAUUCUUUUGAAAACACUCUAACAGAUUCUGAGGCCCGUUCCAGCUCUCAGCUAUCCCAGGCUUUCUUGCAAUCCCUGUGCUACUAUUAAUGCCAGUGGCAAGCCCAUUGGCCUCGUGCCCAGUCAACAAUCCUUGUGUCCCUUGCACACCUUGUAUCCCUCCAUCUCCAUGUGGUCCUUGUAAUUUCUUUGUGUGCUAAAAUUUCCACCAUUCCCCAAUGGAUCAAGAACAAAGGAUCAUUUAUUUCCAAACUCUGGGCUAGCCUUCUGUUGGAGUGAUUGUAUCUUGGGAAGCAGAAUGGGCCAGAGGAAGAAUAGGAAGAAAGACACAAUUUCACAAAUAGAGUCAGUGAUCCCAAGGAGCUGGGAUUUGCUUGUUCUAUGUAUCUGAGUGCCAUUUUUCUGGACAUUUUUGAUCUUCAGAUGCUCAAAUAUUAUUCUCCUCAGAAAAUGUGACUGACUGCAUCCCAUGGUCUCCUCUGUUGCUUCAACCUUUUCUCUCCUUGAAGUUCCUUUGUCAUCCUCCUAAUAAACUUUUACCCUUGUCAAACA